UAUGUGGUGAGGCCUUCUGGAAGUUCCCGCCGAAACCAGACUGACCAUCCUUUAGAAACAAAAGCUUGGCAAUUCACCACAGCAGCAGGAGCAGUCUAUCCCAGCCUGGGCACGCGCAUGACCGACAUACAUCUGGAGGGUCUCCCAUAUACCCACACCUAGCAGCAAACAAAGGGUCUGGACACCCGUCCCCUCCCACUGUCCUGACCCCAGGCCAGAGAGGGCGGGGCUCUUCUCUCCAGCCCCUUUUCCUAGCAAGGAUUUGAAUCAUCAUUCUUAU
rnacentral:lncRNA from 1 species